rnacentral:rRNA from 1 species
CCUACGGGUGGCAGCAGUGGGGAAUAUUCCGCAAUGGGCGAAAGCCUGACGCAGCGACGCCGCGUGCGGGAUGAAGGUCUUCGGAUCGUAAACCUCUGUUAGCAGGGAAGAACGGUCGCUGUGCUAAUCAGUUGUGAAUUGACGGUACCUGCAAAGGAAGCACUGGCUAACUCGGUGCCAGCAGCCGCGGUAAUACGGAGGGGGCGAGCGUUAUCCGGAAUUAUUGGGCGUAAAGCGUUCGUAGGCGGUUUGUGAAGUCUGGGGUAAAAUCCCGGGGCUCAACCUGGGCCCGCUUUUGAAACUAGCAAACUGGAGUGUGAGAGAGGUAAGUGGAAUUCCAGGUGGAGGGGUGAAAUGCGUAGAUAUCUGGAAGAACACCAGUGGCGAAGGCAGCUUACUGGCUCAAUACUGACGCUGAGGGACGAAAGCGUGGGGAGCAAACAGGAUUAGAUACCCCUGUAGUC